UNCAUAGUGUUUUCAGAAUAUGCUGUCAUG
rnacentral:piRNA from 1 species